CGGAGGACUGAGAAGGUGAGGCAGUUCUGAACCAUGCUGCCUUCCACUGGUCAAGACCUCCGAGAGCGAAGGCCUGCAGAGGCAGAGGAAGUCCCUCUGCCGCCCUCAGAGGGGCAGCACUCUGUGCUGGCCGACACUUG
rnacentral:snoRNA from 1 species